CGUAGGGUGCGAGCGUUAAUCGGAAUUACUGGGCGUAAAGCGUGCGCAGGCGGUUUUGUAAGACAGGCGUGAAAUCCCCGGGCUCAACCUGGGAACUGCGCUUGUGACUGCAAGGCUAGAGUACGGCAGAGGGGGUGGAAUUCCACGUGUAGCAGUGAAAUGCGUAGAGAUGUGGAGGAACACCAAUGGCGAAGGCAGCCCCCUGGGUCGAUACUGACGCUCAUGCACGAAAGCGUGGGUAGCAAACAGGAUUAGAUACCCUGGUAGUCCACGCCCUAAACGAUGUCAACUAGGUGUUGGGUGGUAAAACCAUUUAGUACCGGAGCUAACGCGUGAAGUUGACCGCCUGGGGAGUACGGCCGCAAGGUUA
rnacentral:rRNA from 1 species